GUGUCAGCCGCCGCGGUAAUACGGAGGGUGCAAGCGUUGUUCGGAAUUACUGGGCGUAAAGGGCGUGUAGGCGGUAAUGUAAGUCAGACGUGAAAUCCUUUGGCUCAACUGAAGAACUGCGUCUGAAACUGCAUGACUAGAGUGCAGAAGAGGGAAACGGAAUUCCUGGUGUAGAGGUGAAAUUCGUAGAUAUCAGGAGGAACACCGGUGGCGAAGGCGGUUUCCUGGUCUGACACUGACGCUGAGGCGCGAAAGCGUGGGGAGCAAACAGGAUUAGAAACCCCCGUAGUCC
rnacentral:rRNA from 1 species